rnacentral:rRNA from 1 species
UACAGAGGGUGCAAGCGUUAAUCGGAAUUACUGGGCGUAAAGCGUGCGUAGACGGUUACAUAAGUCGGGUGUGAAAGCCCCGGGCUCAACCUGGGAAUUGCAUUCGAGACUGCGUAGCUAGGGUGCGGAAGAGGGAAGCGGAAUUUCCGGUGUAGCGGUGAAAUGCGUAGAUAUCAGGAGGAACACCAAUAGCGAAGGCAGCUCGCUGGGACGUUACUGACACUGAGGCGCGAAAGCGUGGGGAGCGAACAGG